UAAGGUUUAGGCUUAUGCCACAUGUGGCAGAUUUUUGGCCUGUGGAUAAACGCAUAAAAGCCAUAUAAAACACUGAGUGGUCAGUAGAAUACCCAUUUACAUAUGUUCCCAGUUCAUUCAUACCUCUCAUAUUGCUUUUGUUUCUUUUUACAGCUUCUACAAUAGAAAAGGAUACAGUUGCCAAACUACCUUUCCUUAACCAUCUGUACACUCCCAAAACAAAAACAUGCAAAACAAUGCAAAGUAUGCAGACACCAAAGUAAGAUGUUUUUGAAUGAUGUUCAUCACUCUAAGUCCAUUGAAAUCAGUUUAAACAAUGUUACAGAAAAUAGCAAGUGGCUUUCCUGCACCCCAGUCCUGGAACAACAUGCCUGAAAACACCUGAAUAACCUCUUCCCUUCAAAAAGUCUGUAACAGCACUACCCCAUCGCAUGUACAGGCAUGACAGAGAUUUCACUUGUGAAUGACAAGCAGAAUUUGCAGCUGCAUGUCAGAAUUACAACCAUUACUUGGGGCGUCCAUAACAUUUUCUGCAUGGUUCUCUCUGUGUCAAAUAUUUCAGACUUACAUUCUGUAAAAUAAAGGACAAAUAAAAAAUAGCUAUGUAAA